rnacentral:rRNA from 1 species
AAAACGACUCUCGGCAACGGAUAUCUCGGCUCUCGCAUCGAUGAGAACGCAGCGAAAUGCGAUACUUGGUGUGAAUUGCAGAAUCCCGCGAACCAUCGAGUCUUUGAACGCAAGUUGCGCCCAAAGCCUUUUGGCCGAGGGCACGUCUGCCUGGGUGUCACGCAACAU